rnacentral:sRNA from 1 species
UGAUGUGUUGGUACAAUCCGAGUCGUCUCACGGUCUCCGGGCUUUGAUUUCCUGGGUCCUGAGUCCAGUUGGCCGAUUUCCUCCUUGAUGGUGGCGAUGAAUAGUUCCGCCUGUUGCUGCCGCCGAUUUAUGGUCCCCCAUCGAUAUCCCUCGCCUAUCGAUCUAUCUGCCGACCAUAACACCACACUACGGUUUCGAGGUUCAUUUCAGAGAAACAGGAGUGCAAAAGGAGGCUAUCUUUGCCCAACGUAUGCCAUCGUCCACACUCUGGGAUUAAGAGCCUCAUGCUCUACCGACUGAGCUAGCCGGGCUCACACUGCAGCUGUAGGCCACAUCUGUGAUUUGGCCUAUCGGGAACUCCAGAGUACAUCUGACCACGGAACUUGGUGCAGUGACUGGAGAUGUUCCAACCGGAAGAUAAAUUCCGCCACCGGCAUUCCCUUCGGGUCUCCGUCGAAGAUCAGGCCCCACCUUCGGAUGUGACUGCUCUCCUGCCUCGUAUCCCCGAUGCUCGUGCGGUUUCCUUGAUAAUGUCCACUCUCAUUACCCGUUUAUUGCAUCCAGCACGAUACGGGAACUUGUCGUUGUUAGGCUUGUUUCUGAUGUUCCGAUUCCAACGCUCGAUUAUCCACAAAAAGGUGAGUAGGUGCAGGUGGCCGAUUAAUUCUCGCCUAUCUCGCUUCUUGUGAACUUGCAUCGCUUCUCACUUUGUCCACUUUCAGGGAUGAGACUACUUCAAUAAUUUCUCGCAUGAAACUUAACGUGCUGGCCUCCAUUGUCUCUUUAAAAGCGCUCAAUUCCUGGGACAGCGAUGCUCUGUAGGUCUUGUGCGCUUGGGCUACCGCUAUAGCCGACUUCAGCUCACUGGGUAGCUCCACUUCGCUCCUGGUUUGUUGCGUUGAUGACGGGGUACCCGCUACAUCGUCUCGGCUACGCAUUCCGACUAGAGAAGUACUCUCCAUUUCUUCGUGCGCAUCACUGAUUGACAAAAUGAGCAUCACUAUUGCCUUGGUUAGAGCCGAUCAGCUGCCUUUGGCUCACUCUGCCGCAAUUAGGCGGGAACAAACUCACUGAUGUGUUGGUACAAUCCGAGUCGUCUCACGGUCUCCGGGCUUUGAUUUCCUGGGUCCUGAGUCCAGUUGGCCGAUUUCCUCCUUGAUGGUGGCGAUGAAUAGUUUCGCCUGUUGCUGCCGCCGAUUUGUAUGUUGCGCAUGCGCACGCGGUCCCUUUUUUUCUUUCUUUUCUCCUUUUUUUCUUCUUCCUUUCUUUCUUUUUUUCCCCCCUUUUUCUUCCUAUUUUUCUGAAGAUGGUCCCCCAUUGAUAUCCCUCGCCUAUCGAUCUAUCUGCCGACCAUAACACCACACUACGGUUUCGAGGUUCAUUUCAGAGAAACAGGAGUGCAAAAGGAGGCUAUCUUUGCCCAACGUAUGCCAUCGUCCACACCCUGGGAUUAAGAGCCUCAUGCUCUACCGACUGAGCUAGCCGGGCUCACACUGCAGCUGUAGGCCACAUCUGUGAUUUGGCCAAUCGGGAACUCCAGAGGUACGCACAUACAUCCAGUACCAGUCUUUAGCCUGCCCGUUCACCAAUCCAUGGAAAUCCCUCAGUACAUCUGACCACGGAACUUGGUACAGUGACUGGAGAUGUUCCAGCCGGAAGAUAAAUUCCGCCACCGGCAUUCCCUUCGGGUCUCCGUCGAAGAUCAGGCCCCACCUUCGGAUGUGACUGCUCUCCUGCCUCGUAUCCCCGAUGCUCGUGCGGUUUCCUUGAUAAUGUCCACUCUCAUUACCCGUUUAUUGCAUCCAGCACGAUACGGGAACUUGUCGUUGUUAGGCUUGUUUCUGAUGUUCCGAUUCCAACGCUCGAUUAUCCACAAAAAGGUGAGUAGGUGCAGGUGGCCGAUUAAUUCUCGCCUAUCUCGCUUCUUGUGAACUUGCAUCGCUUCUCACUUUGUCCACUUUCAGGGAUGAGAUUACUUCCCUAAUUUCUCGCAUGAAACUUAACGUGCUGGCCUCCAUUGUCUCUUUAAAAGCGCUCAAUUCCUGCGACAGCGAUGCUCUGUAGGUCUUGUGCGCUUGGGCUACCGCUAUAGGCGACUUCAGCUCACUGGGUAGCUCCACUUCGCUCCUGGUUUGUUGCGUUGAUGACGGGGUACCCGCUACAUCGUCUCGGCUACGCAUUCCGACUAGAGAAGUACUCUCCAUUUCUUCGUGCGCAUCACUGAUUGACAAAAUGAGCAUCACUAUUGCCUUGGUUAGGGCCGAUCAGCUGCCUUUGGCUCACUCUGCCGCAAUUAGGCGGGAACAAACUCACUGAUGUGUUGGUACAAUCCGAGUCGUCUCACGGUCUCCGGGCUUUGAUUUCUUGGUUCCCGAGUCCAGUUGGCCGAUUUCCUCCUUGAUGGUGGCGAUGAAUAGUUCUGCCUGUUGCUGCCGCCGGUUUGUAUGUUUUGCGCAUCACUGAUUGACAAAAUGAGCAUCACUAUUGCCUUGGUUAGAGCCGAUCAGCUGCCUUUGGCUCACUCUGCCGCAAUUAGGCGGGAACAAACUCACUGAUGUGUUGGUACAAUCCGAGUCGUCUCACGGUCUCCGGGCUUUGAUUUCCUGGGUCCUGAGUCCAGUUGGCCGAUUUCCUCCUUGAUGGUGGCGAUGAAUAGUUUCGCCUGUUGCUGCCGCCGAUUUGUAUGUUGAUGGUCCCCCAUUGAUAUCCCUCGCCUAUCGAUCUAUCUGCCGACCAUAACACCACACUACGGUUUCGAGGUUCAUUUCAGAGAAACAGGAGUGCAAAAGGAGGCUAUCUUUGCCCAACGUAUGCCAUCGUCCACACCCUGGGAUUAAGAGCCUCAUGCUCUACCGACUGAGCUAGCCGGGCUCACACUGCAGCUGUAGGCCACAUCUGUGAUUUGGCCAAUCGGGAACUCCAGAGGUACGCACAUACAUCCAGUACCAGUCUUUAGCCUGCCCGUUCACCAAUCCAUGGAAAUCCCUCAGUACAUCUGACCACGGAACUUGGUACAGUGACUGGAGAUGUUCCAACCGGAAGAUAAAUUCCGCCACCGGCAUUCCCUUCGGGUCUCCGUCGAAGAUCAGGCCCCACCUUCGGAUGUGACUGCUCUCCUGCCUCGUAUCCCCGAUGCUCGUGCGGUUUCCUUGAUAAUGUCCACUCUCAUUACCCGUUUAUUGCAUCCAGCACGAUACGGGAACUUGUCGUUGUUAGGCUUGUUUCUGAUGUUCCGAUUCCAACGCUCGAUUAUCCACAAAAAGGGAUGAGACUACUUCCCUAAUUUCUCGCAUGAAACUUAACGUGCUGGCCUCCAUUGUCUCUUUAAAAGCGCUCAAUUCCUGCGACAGCGAUGCUCUGUAGGUCUUGUGCGCUUGGGCUACCGCUAUAGCCGACUUCAGCUCACUGGGUAGCUCCACUUCGCUCCUGGUUUGUUGCGUUGAUGACGGGGUACCCGCUACAUCGUCUCGGCUACGCAUUCCGACUAGAGAAGUACUCUCCAUUUCUUCGGUGGGUUUGGUAUUUUGUGCACGGGUAGUUGGACGCAUUUUCUCUUGCUCUCUAUCCCUCUGAAAGUCCCCGCUGCGCCGCACUUUCCUCGACUGCCUGAAUACCCCUUCGCUCAUGUGAUUCUUAAUUUUCAAUAUGUUUCAACAUUCAACAAAAAAAACGUAUAAUUAUUUAAC